rnacentral:rRNA from 1 species
AUGUGUUUACCCUUGUGCUCAAUGACAUCACAACCAAUAAAUACCCUAAGCUGGAACGUGCGUGGGCUGAACUGGCCGACUAGAAGAGCUACAGUCAGUUCUACGAUUGCUGACUCCUCUUGCCAAAUUGUGUGUUUGCAAGAGACAAAGCAUGAGAACGUUGAUACAUAUGUGGCAGCCUUCCUUGGUGGUAACCGGCUGAGAAGUUUUGCGCAGCGCCCAGCUACAGGUACGAGGGGUGGCAUCCUCUUGCUAUGGGACGACGAUACUGUUGAGGUGUCCGACAUUUCUACUUCGGCCUUUUGCCUCUCCGCCAAGGUUCACAUCCGGUCGAUCAAUGUGUGCUUCAAGUUAACAUCUGUCUAUGGACCCACCAAUCACACUGAUGUCUACUACACAACCUUCUUCUUGUAG